AUAGUUUCCACGAUGAGAAGUGUGAUUUGCGCGGUGAAGUGUCUCGGUAUUUCCCCAGUGGCGGAAUGACCGCCGAUCGCCGAGCGGCACGCCAUCCUACCGCGGCCGAGCUCUAAAUCGUAAAGGGGAACCGAGGAUGUACCCAUAGCACUUUGACUCCUGUAAAGGUGUCAUGGACGAUGAAGAGCGCCUUGAAGGCGAGGAGGAAAUGGAGCUGGAUGAUGCCUCUGAUGGUGAAGAUGAAGAUGAAGAGACUACAGGAAUUCCUGCUUCGCCAGCAAAUUCAGAUCAAUUGCUGGGUCCAGCUCCUUCCCUUGGUAACCUUACUCCUGAAGAAGCAUUUCCUGACCCUUUGCGAUACCAAAAGUUUCCACUGCCUGGCGGCAAGCCACUAAGUAUAAGGCGUGGUCCAGGAAGACCAAGAAAAGAACGUCCAUAUGGUAUCACUCGUGGUGGAGGUACCCGAAGAUCUUUUGGUAGAGGUACAACAAGGGGUAAAGGGCUUGGGUAUAUGAGGGGUAUGCCACGUAGGACAAAAAGUAAAGAUGAUGAUACCCAUUCUGAAUCUCCAAGUCCUCUUCGUAUUGGUGAAGAUAGCACGCCCGAUGGGGAAGGAUUAAGUACAGAAAGAUCUAUGCCUGCUCCAGAGGAACCACCAUAUUUUCCAGAACAAUGGCCAGGAAAAGUUUGUGCUCUAUGCAAUUUGAGUGAACGAAGUCAGUUGGGUCAAGGCGAAUUACUAAGAUUAUCAUGCCCCGAAGGUUUUACUCCUGAAAAAAAUAUAAAUCGGGAAGAGACGACUGAACAACUCAUGGAUGUUUCUGCUGGUGAUAAAAGUCCCCGUGCAGUAGGUCCAGGUGCUGUUACCUGUCGUAGGCAAAAGAGUUUGGCUAAGUGCAGAAAUACUAGUCUUACCAACUUUACGGAACCAGUGGAGGAAUUAACUAUAGUUGGAUUUUUGGAAGAGCCAGAGAUAGGAAUAUUAUUUGAACAAACAGGGCAUUAUUAUGUUCAUCAGUCUUGUGCGAUCUGGUCGAGUAACAAUCAAGAUCUCGCAACUGAUCUUAUUAGCCCUGCAAUAGUGCAAGCUUCAUCGCGACGGUGUGCUUAUUGUUCUCAUUAUGGAGCUGGAAUUGCUUGUAAAGUGGCAUCGUGCAAUCGUUAUUUUCAUUUACCAUGUGCUGCAGCUUCGAGUUGUUUCCAAGAUACAAAAACCUUAUCACUUUUUUGUAGCCAACAUUUGGGACAAGUUCCAUUAUUGUUAAACCGUGAUGUCACUUGUACGCAGUGUUUUGGAAUGGGAGAUGUUUCUAACUUAGUAAUGUGCUCUAUAUGUGGACAACAUUAUCAUGGUAGUUGUGUCGGUUUAGCACUUCUACCUGGCGUACGUGCUGGUUGGCAAUGCGUAACUUGUCGUGUUUGUCAGGUUUGUCGUCAACCAGAGGAUGUUUCAAAAGUAAUGUUAUGCGAGAGGUGUGAUAAAGCGUAUCAUCCUGGUUGUUUACGACCAAUCGUUACAUCAAUACCUAAAUAUGGUUGGAAGUGCAAAUGUUGUAGAGUAUGUACGGAUUGUGGUUCGCGUACACCCGGCGCAGGACUAUCAUCGCGUUGGCAUUCUCAUUACACUGUUUGUGACUCGUGUUACCAACAAAGGAACAAGGGUUUUUCUUGUCCACUUUGCAGAAAAGCAUAUCGAGCAGCUGCAUAUAGAGAAAUGGUACAGUGCAGUGCGUGUAAAAAAUUUGUUCAUGGUACCUGUGAUCCAGAGGCUGACCCAUUGACUUAUCAGCAUCGCAAGGAAGCCAAACCUGAUUAUGAAUAUGUUUGCCUUCAUUGUAAAAAUAUGGCUAUUGUAAAAAGAAAGGACAAUGUUGAUGAUUAUACAGGUGACUUUAGUCUCAGUGCUUCGCAAGAAAGCUUAUACGGUGAUGGGGAUUCAUCCGAGGUCGAUUAUCAAGGAAGUUCGGAAGAAGCAUUAUAUUCCAUUGGUCUUGGAAAAGGAAAACCCUUCUGUGCAUCUAAAAUCGCUAAAAAGAGAUUAGGCCUAGGAGGAGCCAUGAUAGGUCGACCGAAAGGCGUGGGUAAACUGGGUUAUCAAAAACGUCAAAAAAUGAAUGAAUUUGGCAGAAAAAGAGGUCCCAAAGCCAAAAUGAGAGGUAUUUUUGGAGUACCAGGGGUAGGAUUGCAGAGACCAAGUUCAGAUUCUUUUUCAAAGGAAGAUGAGCCAGGAGUAGAAAACAGAUUAGUAUUAUGCUCUGCAAAAGAUAAAUUUGUAUUAACUCAAGAUAUUUGUGUUAUGUGUGGUGCGAUAGGAACUGACCAGGAAGGAUGUUUAAUUGCAUGUGCACAAUGUGGACAAUGCUACCAUCCUUACUGCGCUAAUGUUAAAGUUACUAAGAUAAUAUUACAAAAAGGUUGGCGGUGCCUUGAUUGUACAGUAUGCGAAGGUUGCGGCGAAAGAAAUGAUGAAGGUCGCUUAAUAUUAUGCGAUGAUUGUGAUAUCAGUUAUCAUAUCUAUUGUAUGGAUCCACCUUUAGAUUAUGUGCCUCAUGGAACAUGGAAAUGUAAGUGGUGUGCACAGUGCCAAACAUGUGGUUCAAAUGAUCCAGGAUUUAACAGCAGCUGGCAAAAAAAUUAUACUCAAUGUGGUCCAUGCGCUUCUCAUACUGCAUGCAUAUCUUGUCAAGAAGCAUAUAACGAGGGCGAUCUCAUAAUACAGUGCAUUCAGUGUGAGAGAUGGUUACAUUGUGCAUGCGAUUCCAUUAAAUCGGAAGCAGAUGCAGAAAAAUGUGCCGAGGAAGGAUAUAUUUGUAUACUUUGUCGUCCGAGAGACAUACUCCCGCCACAUCUUUUGUGUAACCAAUCUAAGCUCCAACCAAACAAAUAUUCUCGUUCGCCACCUCCAACUGUGCGAAGCCCUGAAUUAUACAAACCGUCUUCUCAACAGUAUUUAGUAGAUGGUGUAUAUUUAUCCGAGGCUGGUAUGAAUCACAUUAAAUCUUUAACAUCGGAACAUCAACAAACGAGGAAAAAAAGAAGAAAAAUGCUUCCCUUGAUAGAUAAAGAGGCAGACAUUAUGGCCACAAUAGAAUCUGUUGUGGCUGGUGGUAGUUUAGACAAUUCCUUAGAAGAUAAUGGAAAAUUAGAUCUAGUAGAUGUUAAAGAUGAACCUACUGAGGUACUUAAAGAAGGUAUGGUAUGGACACCACGUGGAGAUCAGCCGCCACCGGAAGGAUUCAGUAUUUAUACGACUGAAAAUGGCAUACCUGUUUUAAGACGCAAACGCCAACGUAACUUACAAAAGCUUGGCAUUGGUGGAUUCAUUGUCAGAAUAAGAGGUACACGUAAGGAUAAAGAGGAGGAAGGGGAUCCUGAAAAAAUAGCAGAUUCAGUAAUAGGAAUGGCAGAUGACAAACCACGUAGAAAACCACAAAGGCGAAAACCAAAGACAAAAUUAUCCGAAUGUUUUCCACUCUAUAUGCAAGAAGCAUUCUUUGGCAAAGACCUUAUGGAUACUACCAAAGAUAAAGAUCUUGAAAGUAGUAGCGAGUCCGAUGGUGAACGAAAUGUUUCUGCUAAUGCAGAUACUAUUCAAUUGUCGCAAGAUGAAUUGAAAGCAAUGGAACAAGUUAAAGCUAAGCAAGAAAAGGAGGAAGAUAAAUUGCCUGUAGAACAGCCAAUAAAACGGGAAGAAAUUAUGGAGGAUGAUGGCAGCGAUACCGAAGCACUUGGUGAUAUAUUACCAAUUUCUGGUGACAUACUUGAUAGUGAACUUGUCAAUACUAUUAUGAAUGAGCCAGAUGAAGAAUUAGCUAAAGCCAGCGAAGCUUUAGACGAAUUAGAUGAUACGCAAGGUACUUCUAAGGAUGAAUUAACAGACAUUCUCAGCCCACAUUUUAAUUUGGAAUCAAUGGUCAGAGAUAUUGGUCUACCUAAUAUGGAUAGUAAAGAUAUUGAAGAAAUAUUCAAAGGGGUUCUUACGGAUGAGUCACAAGAAUCGCAAGAAUCAUCAGUGUUUUCUGUACAAGCUCAACCUCCACAUCCACCAUCUUCCACUACACCACUUGUUUCACCUUCACCACAUCCUGGUAUGCAAACGGCUUUACCUCUUGCAAGACCGCAAGUACCUGGUACAUUACCUCCAGUUGGGCAAUCAAAUUUGAAUUCUCCAAUGAGUUUUCCACCUCCAUCCCCGUAUCAUUCGGAAUAUAGCAAUAGUCCACAAUUUAGCCCAGCAUUCUCAGAACCACCAAGUCCUUGGGUAAAUCCUGAGGAUGAAGGAAGUGCUCCAGUGAGUGGUGCCACGAUAUCUUACAACCAAAGAAGUAAUCUUAAAAUGGAGGCUGAUGAAGCAUUAGGUACUGGGGCAACAAUAUCUUCAGUUCUUUAUGCUAAUAUUAAUCAUCCAGAAUGGAAAACGGAAUAUCCAGCGUGGUCUGAAAGGUGUAAACAAAUUUUAAAAAAGUGGCGUGCUCUACCUAACGAAAAGAAAGCUCCUUAUCUAACUCAAGCACGAGAUAACAGAGCAGCAAUUCGUAUGAAGAAAACACAACAGAUAUCCAAGGAAAUACCAAGCACGACCCCAGUCACUGCAUCAAGCGCACCUACCAUCAUCACCAAACCUGUCACUGCUAUGACAUCAGCUCAAGUUUCUCCAGUAGUAGCUAUGGCCUCCAACCAAAGGCAAAUUGGACUUUUGACUUCAGUGAGCAGUGAAAAGCCGCAAGAAAAGAGUGGAAUGUCCGUAUCUGCAACAGGAGUGACGGUGCCAACAGCUAGCAGUAAUCAUCAUGCGGAGGUGUGUGCGGUGCAGGGACCGCCGAAGCAGCUAACAUCUAUCUCCCCAAGUCCUUCGCCAACUUCCACAACCCCGUCUUCUUCACCCAGACCCAGUUCUGUCAAUUCUAUCAGUUCCAUUAACAGCCUGGCGCACCAAGAGAUUACGGGUGGCCAGGCUAGAGUAGCUCAGUCGCCAGCCACGCCUUGCACAUCAGCAACUGCUUCUUCUUACUGCAACACGGGCGCCGGUGAAGGGCAGCAUCAAACGUCACCAUCCCAACAACGUCCUACACCUUCUCAUAUUACGAUCAGUACCAGUACUGUCUCUAACAGUCUGGCUAUUCCUCAGGCAUCCCCCACUGCUAACGUGAUGGUGGGGGCAGCUCCUGCCCGCCAAUUAUCCUCGGUAGACCACCAGAUUAGAGUGCUCACCCCAUCUGAAAUCAUGCGCACCCUCCCCUCCUUGAGCCAGGAGCACUACGAUCCGCCACCCACUGCAAUUAUUCACACUGUACCUGUACAGACCCCGGCUAUGGAACAAGAAAGACUUUCCAAUAGAGACCGUUCUAGUAGAGAAGCAGAACAGGAACGUCAGUGGAAACAAUUGCAAGCUUUACGUCAACAACAAGCACAGAUUCAACAACAAGUAAUUCAAGAGCAACGUGUACACGCUAUAGCCAGAGUACAUAGACAAAUAAGCGAAGAUAACACAUCACAAUUAAAUACUGAUAAUCCAACAGGAUUAACAACACAACUUCAAGUUUCAACAUCACAGGAGGGAAAUCAUUUAGGACCACUUGCAUCCCCAUCCCCUGGUUCACGUGGUACCUUUGCAACACCUCCAGUUAAAGUAACAAGAGGGGUAGCUCCACCAAGUCCUCAUCAAGGUAUGCCACGCUUACCAGCUCAACCUUGUGGAACGGUUACACGUCCAGUUGGAACCGUGGUCAGGCCAGGCAUGCCAAAUAAUUUCACACAACCACCUUCUCCGUUCUCACCUCAAGCUCCUCAAUCUCCCCAUGAUUUUCCUCAGUCUCCUGCAUCCUCUCAAUCUCAAGAUCAUUUUCAACGCUUCGAUACGAACGAAGCUUUCUCUCAGGCUUCCCAAACACCUAGGUCACAAAUAUCUGGUACACCUUCAUAUUCUACAUCACCAAGAAAUGAAGUGUUCUCACAACCGCCAGGUACACCAAGACCAAUGUUUAAUCCACCCACACCACGACCUACUACUCAUGUGUAUGCUCCAUCUCGUACUCCUGAUCCUUAUAGUAAUCAACCACCAACACCAUCACCUGUUCCAAAUUAUCCCUCACCAAGAACAGAAUCUCGGCAAGAACCACAACAGCAAGAAGUAUUCAAUCAACAGCCAGAAGUUAACAGGCAAUUACGCGAUCUUCUCCAAAGGCAACAGUUUAAUAAGAAAAUUGAAUCUGUUAAUGCUUCUUGGAAUCCAGAUGGACAAAAUAACACUGACGGAAAUCAGGGACAAUUUGAAACAGGUCAUGUGCAACUUCCACAACAUUCUCAAUCCAAUAAUAAUACUGGGGAAGGUACAUUUAGGCAUCCACUUCCACCAAGUGUCGUAAGACCACGGAUGCCACUUCAACCAAAUGUUUUAAUAAGAAAUUCAAUAGGAAUAACUUCGAGACAUCCUGUAAACAUAGAUGCGAGACUUCAAGCUAUAGAUUCACGCGCUAGAAUGUUAUUACAGCGACCACAAGUUAAUGCAAGUAUUCCACAACAGCACUUUCAAAGUACGCAACCUUUACAAACUCGGAUGCCGACCGCUAGAAAUACACUUCCGGAAUCUUAUGAUGUGCUCCAGCAACAAAGGUUUCAAGAACCAAAUCAGGGACAACCUCUUGGACAACGUAUGGUACGACCAGGUCAAGAUAAUUUAACUCAAGGAAUGCGUAUGUUAGGAACGCAAGGAUUGGUUAGACCAACUAUUAUGCAAUCAACUGUUAAUGAAACUACUAGCACUCCAGAACCGUCAGAAAUUCCAUACAAUGUAACUGCCGAACUUGAGAAAUUAGAACAAGAGGAAGGAGCACCAAUGGUCGAGGUCGAGGGCGUGAGUGCAAUAUUAGGUGAUUUAGGUGACGACGAUGAUGAACUCCUUGCUGAAAUGGGUGCAGAUUUUAAUAUUUUGGAAUACGCAGAUCCCGAAUUAAAUAAUAUAACUGGAGGUGAUAAAACUAAUAUUCUUGACUUAGAAUUGGAACAAGUUGAAGUAGAAACGAAAGAAGAAAAACAAAAGAAGGAGUCUAAAGAAGAAGAGCACAAAUCGGAAGAUUUAGCUGGAACAAGUAGAGUACUCACUGGUAUCAGCGAAAAAUGUACAGUGAGCACUGUACAAACGUCGACUGAUACAACUACUGUACCGACACAAGUACAAGCAAUGACAUCUUUAAGUGCAACUCCACAAGCACCUCAACAACAAUCGGCAAUUUUACCACAAUCACAUCCUCAAGCUGUUGUUGUACAACAACAAAUGCAUCAGCAUGUACAACAAGCAGCGGCAAUGGGACGACCUAUGCCUCCAGGAACUCGAAUAUUAUCUCCUGAUGGAGCUGUUGGUGUCGUUACAUCGACCAAUACAGUUACCGUCAGCUAUCCUUCCACAUUUCCUGGACAUCCUCAAAGAGUACCACAAACACAUAUACAAGUUGCUCAACAACAACGUCUUGGUAUGAGGGUUGCUGGAGUCCAGAAUGUGGCUGGUCGCGUGGUGACAGUGAACCAUAUGAUCGGACCACGUUUGCCACUAGCACCUCCACCGCCACCGCCACCUCCACCACCACCGUACCCAGGCCCACCACCACCAUAUCCUGGUCCUAUACAGAUGGGGCUGUGCCCAGGUGGGCGGGGCUUGACGCGGCCCCCAGUUCAUAUAGGGCACGCAGUGCCAGUGGCUGGUCCACCAAUGGCCCCAGUGGUUCAUUCUGGUGCGCCUGCAAUGGCACCUCACCCUCAUCGAAGACCCUUGCUUCUGCAGUCAUGUUCACAGGAGCAACCAUUGCUAUUAGAGGAUCUUUUGGAACAAGAAAAACGGGAACAAGAAAAACAACAACAACAACAACAGCAGCAACAACAACAAGUUGACAAUACAACUCCUAGUGGAACUCUUUUAAGUGAUAGUGACUUUGAGAGACUGAGAGCAGACGUUUUAGGCUCUGCUCCGUUAGCAUCCCCUCCUCAAGGAAUGGUACCAGUGCCUGGUGGAAUUCCUGUUAUUAGACCACCGUGUACACCGAGACCACCAUCUGCCCCAGGAAAAAAUUGGCCACAAGCAGUUUCAGACGCGGCAAAGCUUGCAGUACAAGUACCCAGACAACCAAUCGCUACGCAAACACCACCUGAACCAAGAGUAGCUACAUUCAAUAUACCUCAAAUACCAGCACCACCGACUCCGCCAGAAAACAUAGUGAACGAACAGGAUCGUCAAAUGCAACUCCAAUAUGAACAGUGGUUGAAUCAUCAACAUCAAGUAUUAACACAACAACUAAAAUAUUAUGAAACGGAAGUCCAGAAGCUGCGCAAAGUAAGAAAAUCCCUUAAUAGCAAACAACGACAACUUCGGAAAUCUGGAAAUGAACUGGCAGAAAAUGAUGCUGCCGAACUUCAAAGAAUUUCGAGUGAACAAGCAAUAUUACAGAAACAUUUAGAUGCUAGCCGAAAACAAACGAGACAACAUGGGAUGUUGAUACAAGAAUAUAAUACUAAACAACAACAAAAACAAUCUCAACCACAAAACAGUGAACCUUGUUCACCGUUAAUGUCUCCUUCUCAACAUUCACCAAUGCAUAGUCCAGCUGCACUUGUUUCUCAAAGUCCAGGCCCUGGAAGUGUCCCUGCAAAUAUGAUACAACAUUCACCAGCUACGCCGAUUAUACAACAUAGUCCUAAUCCACCAUUACUGCAACAUAGUCCAGGUAAUCCACAAACAGCAAAUCCGGGUACUAUGUCUCCUCACAAUAUGCAACAAUCUCCGAGGAUAGGGACACCUCAUUCGCAAGGCGAAGAGAGUCCUUUCAGUCCAGGUGCUAUGUCGUCACCAGGGAUUUGUGGUCCAUCAGCUACUAGAAUGACUUCGCCACAACAUCGUGCAGUAAUAACAGGACGACAUGCUACGAGUCCAGGUUCUUUUACAACAGAAGCACGAAACACCCAACAAAUUAUUGGAGAUCAAGGAGUUAGAGUACAUGCACUUUCUCAAAGAUUUGUUCGUCCACCGGUAAUAGGAGAACCUGGACAAAGACCGAGAAUGCCAUUACAAGGAGGAAUAGUAUAUGGUCAGCGUUCUCCACUUGGAAGUCCUCAACCCAAUCAACAAUCAUUGAUGACUCAACAACAGCAUCAACAAAUGUUACAACGACAGCAAAUUAUGCAACAACAGCAGCAGCAACAGCAACAACAACAACACGAUACAAAUAACGUUACUCAAGACGGGCAAAAUACUAUAACUCAACGCACUUUACAAAUGGCACAGCAAAGGCAACAAAUAUUGCAGCAACAACAAAGGCAACAACAAUUUCUACAAAUGCAACAACAACAGCAACAACAACAGCAUGGAGCUACAAUGCAAAAACCUCCAAAUUCUCCCAUGGUAUCUCAGCCUGCAAAUUCACCAAGUCCACAGCUUCAUCAACAAAUAUCGCAAAAUUAUGGACAACCACCGAGCUCACCAAUGCCACGUAGUCCUAUGGUACAACAAACGAUGGGUUCACCUAUGCUUCAACAACAAUUAAGUCAAACUUCUCAACCUCCAAGUCCAAUGAAUACAAGAAUGCAUACGCAUCCUCCCACUUCUCCAAUGGUUUCUCAAUGUCAACCACCUAGCCCUAUGGCUCGUAAUCAUCCAUCAACAUCACCAAUGUUACAACAUCAGCUUAAUAAUUCACAUCACCCACCACCAUCACAAACACCAAAUUCUCCAAUGCCACGUAGUCCAAUGGUUGGUGGUUCUCCAAUGCAAAUGCAAAGACGACAAUCUACUGGCAAUAGUCCAGCGAUGCCUGAUAGACCGCAAAGUGUUGAAAAUCCGGGAACCCCAAGAACACCACAUACUCCUCAUACACCCCAUGCAGUUUAUGCCCCUCAAAAUUCAGGUAACGCAGUAAUGUCGAACGAUCAACAACAACAGCAACAACAACUUUCUCAACAUCAGCAUCAACAAUCAGUAUCACAGCCAGAACAAACAUCUGUAGAUCACACAAAUAGAGGAGGUGGAAAUCCACAUAAUCCAAUAAAUCCAUUACCAUUCAUACCAAAUUUUGGAAGAUAUGGAUUUUUUAAACUUGGUCUAAGAGGUGGCUCCCCAAUGUGGUCAACAAAAGCAGAAUCUAGUAAGGGUAAAACUGCAGAGACUCAUCUAUUGAAUAUUGAUGAAAAACCUAAUACAUCAGUUGUACAUAGAAAAACAGGUAUACCACCGUCAAAAAUUAAUUCUUUAGUUUGUGCAGAUUAUAAUGAUUUCGACGAUGAUUCUCAUACGCCACCUCAAACGCCCCCAACAUCUACAGAAUCAAAACAGACACCGUCGUUACCUGAUAAUGGUCCAUUACAAUUAGGAAGUCCAAGUGAUAAACUUGAACCUAUACCUGAUACUACUGAUUAUGAUGAUGAUAAGACGAUAGUUAACACUGAGGUAACAUUAAGUUCAACGGCUCAACGGGAUAAUGAUGACAUUACUGUCAUAGAACAAUUUGGAGACACAGAGUUAGUAGAUGUUAUAUCAGGUACGCUUGAUGGAGACAUGCAAGAAGAAUAUGUGCUCUUUGAGCCUGGAAUGGUUGUAGAUUUAUCUGCUGAUAGUAACGAUUCUCUUUGUCAUGCACUUGUUAAUGAUGGUAGUCAAGGACAUGACUUGGUACAAAUUUUGGAAAUUGAAAAUCCAGAAUCUCAAACUGAUGAACCUAUAUUAAGCGAUGAAGAUCUUGUACCUUCACAUACAAGAAAUAAAAAAGGCUUAAGAUUGGAUAUCGUAAGAACGCUUCAAUCGGGAAAAAGAUUGUUGGCAGUAACAGAUACACCAGAGUCCCCUGAUCAAGAUGAAUUACGUGUAGAUCCAUCACCUGGACCAUAUAUGGAUCAUUCACCAGACCAAGAUAUUAUGGUAUCUUUGGACAGUGAAUCAGAGGUUGUUAUUAUUGACCCUAGUACGAAAUCACCUGAAGAUAAUUUCUCUAAGGAAUCUUGUGAGGAAGAAAAUGAUAAAAUAGAUACUACAAAUAAUUUAGAUGUACCUAAAGAAAAUAUUAUAAAAGAAUCUUCAAACGAGGAUCAAUCAGAAUCUCAAAAAGAAACGAAACAAACAAAAAGCCCGAUAGCAUUUACGUUUCCUGAGAGUGUAUCAUAUAGUCAAAUACCGCCUUCCAGUUUACAUCAGGCAAAUAUUGGCUUACCUGUUAGCUGUUUAUCUACUAUUAUGUUUACAACAACUUCGACAACAACUGAAACAAAUGUUAUAACAGUAUCGUCAACUAUAUUAACAUCGGAUACAACUACUAAGUCAUCUACAACAUUUCCAACCGUAUGCGUGACAAAGGAGCAAAUAACAAGUACGUUAAAUUCUCAAAGACAAACUAUUUUAUCAUCAACGAUGGCAAGUAUUGUAGCAGAUGCUAAAAUAGCAGCUAAACUUAGUCAAACUGUUUUAGAAAAUAUAGGAGUUACUUCACAGCAAAUCACGCCCGAAACGAAGACACUACCGAAAGUGACUUUGUCAAACACAGAAACUUCAACAACAUACAUUAUAACAACAGACAAAAUAUCAACGCCUAACACACAGUUUGAAUAUACAAGUUUUGUACAGAAUGUUAGUGUGAAUACAACAGAAUCAACAAGUAAUCCUACAAAAUUAGUAUUAAGCGUCCAGCCUACAUCAGUUACUUUAUCAACACCAAAAAUGUCAAUACCUGAUUUACCUAAAAAAGAUAUUGUCGUAGUUACUCCAAAAGACGAUAAAAAUGAAUAUACUGGGAGUAUUGGAAAAGAAAAGAAUGAAAGAGAUGAAACGGAUAAUGCAGAAAAAAAUCAAGAAAAAGAUAAUAUUGUUUCAAAAGUAGAUAUUAAUUCAACUGCAAUUUCAGAUACAAUAAUUUCAGAUGAUAAGAAAAAUGAUCCAUUGAAUACAACGGAUGAAUUAGAAAGUAUGUUAGAAGCUAUUCAUAAUCCUGCUGAAAAUAAUAUAACUGGAAAAAAGAAUCCACAUCCUGAGGAAAAAUCAAAUGUCUCCACGUUGAAAAGAAUGUCGCCUGUUGCUGAUGAUUUGUCACUUGUAAAUAUUUUAGAAAAUGAUGUUGAACCAGCCGUUGAAAAUGACAAUAAACAAGAUGGCACAGACACAGAAGUAUCAAAAGUAGAGAAAACUAAGGAGGUAAUAAAGCAACCUAUUAGUGAAGUAAGCAACGCGGAUACCGAUACGAAUCAAAUUAUAAGCGAUAUUAAUCAAGAAGAACAUAAAGAGAAUAAAGACAAUGUAUCCUGUACAGAAAUUGAAUCUAAUAAACCAUAUUUACAGCAUUGCCUAAAUGAAGAAAGAAAUUUAAUGGAAGAAUCAUCGGAUGAUAUAUUAGAUAUGCUUCACAAUAUAAUAUCUUCUAAACCAGAGAUGGCAAAUACCGAUAUUCUUCAUGAAGACAGAUCUAGAAAAUCGAGUCUUAUAUACCAGUUACCAACACCAUUGGAUACAUUACCUCUUAAUAUUUUACAAGACUCAUUGAUGGACUUGGAGCAAGAAAAUUUGGAAAAUGAACAUCUUCUAUCUUCGGAAAAUAAAAUGUCGCCUAAACCUCAAAAAACAAGUCCAUCGCCUACGGGAUCUAUAUCUAAGAAAAGUCCACCGCAUCAUACUGUCCCGUUGGUUGUGAGCACAGUAGCACAAUUACAAAAAUGUACAACUACAGUACCUCAUCUUUCUCCUUUGUCCAAGCCUACAGAGCUUACAUCGAAUGUGGCCAAUGUAUCGCAUCAAUUGAGAACAUUACUUUCUUCUUUACAGACAAAUCAUUCUCAAAACUGUACAACCAGUCAACAACCUACUAUCGUUACUAUGGUAUCUUCGGUCAUUUCAGCGCCGAAAGUCGGAACGAUCUUAUCAACGAGCACAUCUUCUCCGAAUUCUAUUAAUAAUACGCAGCCUAAUUCAAACCUUCGUUUACAGACAUGCAUGACUUCGUCUCUUCAUGCAAAUACAAAUAAAGUAGAUAUUGAAUGUACCACUACUGCAUACACUUCACAGGGUAAAGAAAGUACAAACUCUACAGUCAGCGUUAUUUCAAGUCAUUGUAAAGUAACAACCUCUGAGCAAUUUCUACGAGUAACUUCAAGUGGAAUUCAAUCCCCAUCAACAAAUUGUCUUACAUCACAAACAUCUUCUGUAAUAACUCCUAGACAACCAACUAAUACUGGUAUAUCUAUUACCUCAAAUGCAAUGUUAAAUGCUAUGUUAGCUGGUACAAAUUCGGCAAAACCAACGAUUGCUGGACAUAGAGCAAAUACUGUCCCAACACAGGCCAGUAACUUAUUAAGUUCAGUUAUGCCACCAUCAUCUGUACAAAGAACACAAAAUCUGCAAGCAAUAUUGCAAGUAAGCUCAAAUAAUUCAAUAUCUUCUCGCAUUGCCGCUAAUUCUACCUCGGCAGCGAUAAGUACAUCUAUGCAAUGUGUAAGAACCAUUGUACCACCUACAGUAACAUCUAGUACAAGUAAUGUUAGCGUUACUACCAGUAUAUUACAAUCUACAUUGUCUCAAACUUCAACACUUUUACAAGCUCAACAUAGUUCUGGGCAAUCUCAAUAUAAAACUGCAGGUCUCUUACCUAUUGACAAUAAAAAUAAUGAAUUGGAGGGAUUAAAUCAAAGUUCUGCUGGAAAGAAAGAACAAGAUGAGACAAAUUCUAAAAUGCAAACAAGUAUUGAUAAAACGGUUACAACAAGAAACGAAUUAGAAAUUGGUAAAGGUAGCUUAACAACAAACUCUCACAGAAUGGAAGAAUCUCAGAAUGUAUUAUUGAAACAAUUAUUACAAAAUACAGCAUGUGCAACUACAACAUUGCCAGUUAGUAGCUCACAAGGACCAAGUUUGCCUUUAGUACCAUCAUUGGAAGCACAAUUAGCAAGGCCAAUUCCACCUACUCCAUCCUUUCUAUUAUCACCUAUGCUAAAUGAGACACCAACUGCCAAAUCACCUGCUAAUAAACAAGUUCUUACUAGAGAGACUUCGUUUCUAUCACAUUCGGUCACUCCUCUUAAAGUUCAAAGUCCACCGAUAAAAGAAGAACCUCCAAAGCCGCCACCACCACCACCGCCACCACCUCCGCCACCGUUAGCAACAUCUACAUCGACCCUGACGCAACAACGAUCCGUUGAUACAAUGGUAAAGCAACAAACGACAAACCAGACACCAAAAACUGUGUCUACCACUACACAGGCAAAUCAACAGCCCAUAACUGCUCCAACUGUGAAACAAGUAGCACCAGUGUCAACAAAAAAUUGUGAAGUACUAUCUUCUUUGCAACAGGAUACUAAUACUAGCCAACCUCAGAUGAAAACAUCUAAUGAUCCUGCUAUCACAAAUACUACACAAGUGCAACAGCAACGUGCAUCAACACCUAUGAUAGUUUCGAGAAUGGUUUCACAAACAAAGCCUACCGUAACUACGACUGUACCUGCAAAAAUUACGCAGGCUAUAUCACAAGCAUCAAAUAACGUUCACGCUACACAACAAGCCCCAUCAGUUACACCCCCUCAGACUUUACAGUCUCAACCUCUAUUGUCAGUAACUCAAAAAUCUAUAGCUACAUCACAACAAUCUACACAUAUUAGUUCAGUACAGCCAUCAGUGCCUCAAACAGUGUCCCAUUCUAUGGGUCAUCAAUCACAGAUGUCACAGGGUGCAAAUGCACAACAUUCAGUGCCUUUAGUAGAAGUCAAAAAAGAAAUUCUUGAUGAAGUUCUGUCCAGUGGUACACCUACCCAGUUAACCGAUACCAAAGACUUUCUUACUGCCAAAGAGGAGCUUAUAGACGGAUCUAUGGAUGAUAAAACUGAUCUCAAAAAGUUAAGAAGGCGUCAGUAUCAGCAAAAACGUAAACAGAGUCAAGGCAAGGACGCAACAGCGGUACCUCAAAAGAAGCGAUGUAGAAAAGUAUCGCGAUUAGACGAAGAUUAUGACACGUUUAUCGAUAAUUUUAUGAUUCAAUUACGGCAACUUCAACCAAUGGCAGUGUUGGAACCUCUAUUAGGGAGAAAUUAUGGUGUUUGUCCUAUUUUUGGUUCAGGGGAAUUAUUAAAAAUUGUAAGCCAAAAAGAUUAUAAUACCAGAACUGGAGAUUUAAUUGGCUCAUAUGGUUCUGCUAACAUACCUGGUGUCUCCGAUCAUUAUAAUACUCAACCUUUUGGUGAAUUAGAACCGUUACCUCCUCAACAACCUAUUUCUACACAAAGAGGAUUUUACGACCAGGAAUUUCCACCUCUCAAAUUGGAUGACUCCGAUGAAAAGAAAGAAAAUUCCUUGAUAACGAAUCGUGAUGUUGAUUCUCCUGAUACGAUAGUAAGCUCGUCAUCCCCAGAAUGUGUGAUACCAGAGUUCAUCCCUCGUUUCCCAGGAUUAAGAUUAAUCGAAGAAGAGUCAGACGAAGAAUCUGAUUGGUUGAAACGAGUAUCACCUGUUAUACCUUUAAUUUCUCCUAUACCAAUUAGACUUAAACCUACCUAUAUAAGAGAUACAACCAAACAAGAUAAAGAAAACUUAGGAAUUCCAAGGCUUGGAAAAUCUCCACCAACACCAUUAAGGGAGAAUGGAAAUGUUACUGUUACCUUGACUUUGAAUAGUCAGGCUGCAGAUGAUAUAAUGGGUGUACUUAAAGAUUUGGCAAAUAUAUUAAACAUAGCUCCUCCAACUGGUUACCAGAUAGUAGAACGUACCACUACUCCUCCUAGUCAAAAAUUAGGACUUUACAGAACUAAAGGAAAAGAUGGCAAAGAAGGAGCACCAAUUGACAUACAGAGUAUUUUGAAUGGUGCUGCCAAAUUCUGUCGUCAUUGUGAUGUUGUGAUAUUAAAUAGCUUAAUAAGAAAAAAAGUGUCAGAUUUACCAUUUUUGAGUAAGGAAGAAGCAGAACCUGGUGACGAAUUAUGUUUUUGUUCAGCAGCAUGUUAUAUGCAAUUUGCUCUAAUGCAUAGGACACCUACAAACACGCAAGAAAAAGCUGCGACAAUAGUAGAUCAUUUAUGCCAAAAGGUAGAUCCCAAGGUAAUAGAUGAUGAUUUUAAAAAAAUGCAAGAGAAAAAAUUUUCACUUAAGCAAUCUAUCGACCACGUGGAAAGUAUGGAAAUAGAACCUGAAAAUAAAUCGGAUGUUAGAAUCAAAAUUGAGGAAGAAUUCGAAAUGCAUGAUAAUAAGGAAGAUUUAUCGGAUGAAAAGCGACCAAAGAAACAUGCUGCCCUCGAGGAACCAGCUAAUGAAACGAGUGAACCACCUCCACCUGCGAAAGUAUGGAGAGGUUUAAAAUAUAAAACUUGGACUAUGGGUGCGAUACAGCCUGCAACUAAAUAUAAAAAACCCACUGACAAGGAAAUUACCGAUAUGCUUUUCCGCAUGGGUGUAACCGUGAUACCUGCAAAGGCAGAAGACAGUCGCCGAUGCAUGUUUUGCCAAAGCCAAGGAGACGGUACUGCCGAUGGACCAGCUCGAUUAUUAAAUUUCGAUGUUGACAAAUGGGUACAUUUGAAUUGUGCAUUAUGGUCGGAGGACGUGUAUGAGACGGUAAACGGCGCAUUGAUGAAUUUGGACACUGCUUUACAACAUAGCCUUGUAUUGAAUUGUAUCGUUUGUGAGAAACCGGGAGCUACAGUGAAAUGUUUUAAAAUGCGUUGUACGAACGUUUAUCAUCUUGGUUGUGCGGUUAAAGAUGGUUGCGUAUUUUAUAAGAAUAAAAGCACUUACUGCUCGCAGCAUGUACAGAAAAAUGAGAAGGAUAACGAAUUGACAACCUUGUCCGUAUUUAGAAGAGUUUAUGUAAAUCGUGACGAGAAUAGACAAGUUGCAGCAGUGAUGCAUCACUCUGAGCAUAAUCAUUUACUCAGAGUAGGAAGUCUAAUUUUCUUAAGCGUUGGACAGUUACUUCCUCAUCAGCUCGCUAAUUUCCACACGCCUAAUUAUAUAUAUCCUGUCGGUUAUAAAAUCGUACGAUUUUAUUGGAGCAUGAGAAGGCCCAACAAACGUUGCCGAUACGUAUGUUCUAUCCACGACGUUUCAGGACGACCCGAAUUCAGAGUAUUAGUACAAGAACCAUUACAAGAAGAUGUUGAAUUACGUGAUGCUACGCCACGAGCCGUUUGGAGUCGAAUUCUCGAACCUCUUGCUGAACUUCGUAGGUCGACACACAGUGUUCAAUUAUUUCCACGUUACGUUUCUGGCGAAGAUCUUUUCGGCCUUACGGAGCCAGCUGUAGUACGAGUUCUUGAAAGUUUACCUGGCAUCGAAACCCUAACAGAUUAUAGAUUUAAAUAUGGACGCAAUCCUUUAUUAGAAUUACCUUUAGCUAUUAAUCCAACUGGCAGUGCAAGGACCGAAGCCCGAUUAAGAAAUCAAUUACCUUGGAAACGACCUCACACUCAACGUACUGGCUCUUCGGCUCGGGCAAAUUUUGUACCGACUGCCACGGUAGCCGGUGAAGUUGCAUGUCCGUAUUCGAAACAGUUCGUACAUUCGAAAAGUUCGCAAUAUAAGAAGAUGAAACAGGAGUGGCGAAAUAAUGUUUAUUUGGCACGUUCCAAGAUUCAGGGUCUUGGUUUGUACGCCGCGCGUGAUCUUGAAAAACAUACAAUGGUCAUAGAAUAUAUAGGGGAAAUAAUACGAACUGAAUUAGCUGAAACCAGAGAAAAGCAAUACGAGGCUAGGAAUCGUGGUAUUUAUAUGUUCCGAUUAGACGAAGAAAGAGUUGUUGAUGCAACUUUAUGCGGUGGACUUGCCCGAUAUAUUAAUCAUUCUUGCAAUCCCAAUUGUGUCGCUGAAAUUGUUGAAGUCGAGCGUGAUCUCAGAAUUAUAAUAUUUGCAAAGCGAAGAAUCUCACGUGGUGAAGAGCUGGCAUAUGAUUAUAAAUUUGAUAUCGAAGAUGACCAGCACAAGAUAGCAUGCGCAUGUGGUGCGCCUAACUGCCGCAAGUGGAUGAACUAAAGAGAAAUCGUCCACUGUUGUUAUUGUUACUACGUUAUUGGGUAGGUUUUACAUGAAGAAAAAAAUUAUAUAUAUAUGAUAGACACAUUAUUUAAUUUGUAAAGUGCCAUUGCAGUUUGAGUAAUUGAAUCAUAGUGAAGUUGGUGCUAUGCCAUCACAACAUUCCUCCAAAGUUGUACAAUAUUAGUUUUAUUCUAUAUAAACAUAAAUCAUUGAACGCUUGUAUAUUACGGAAGAAAAAAAUUUUCUUAAUGACACGACAAAACGUGAAGAGAAAUAAAAAGAAUAAUAAUAAUAUUAAUAAUAAUAAUAAUAAUAAUAAUAAUAAUAAUAAUAAUAAUAAUAAUAAUAAUAAUAAUAAAAAUAAUAAUAAUAAUAAUUGCAGUGUCGUGUAUAUGUAUACAAAAAGUUUGUAUCUUUGUAUGUUGAGUAAUGUCAACAAUAGUUGACCAAUAUUGUAUUAUAGAUCGUUUAUUAAUUAUUAUUGCACCGUCUCUGUACAUAAAGUAGAGAUCCAUGUUAUUUUGAAUCACCAGAUGAAUUAUGUAAAGUAACAAUAUAUCUAAUUUAGAAUUAUAUACAAUUAUAACUAUUUGAUUAUAUAAUAAAUCCGUACAAAAAACCUUAUACAAACUUGUUUCUAUUUCCGUUUUGCUUUCUAUUUUGCGAUCUAUACAUUUAUCUAAUCAAAUCAUGCAUAUUUUCUUUUUCCAUCAUGCAACUAUUUAAGUGAUUCAUAACCUAAAAAAAGAAAAAAAAAAUUAAAAAAAUAAUAUCUUGUACGUUUACCUUUAUUAAUCUUCUAAAUGGUUGAUAUAUUUUAUUAUGUAUAUGAUAAAUAAAAUUUGAAUCAGGUGCGAAAAGAGAUCGAUUAUUUCUUGAUAUGGAACUUUAUUCCAAUACUUCGUACACACAACGAUAUUCACAACGAACUGUAGUGUAUACACGUAAAAUGUACAAUACAAUUCCUUUAAGAGCUUCGUUUGUAUCGUUAGUAUAAAAAAAAAAAAAAAAAAAAA